AUACGAAAGGUGCAAGCGUUGUUCGGAUUUACUGGGCGUAAAGAGAGUGUAGGUUGUUUAUUAAGUCGGAUGUGAAAUCCCGGGGCUCAACCUCGGAACUGCAUUCGAUACUGGUAGACUAGAGUUCGGGAGGGGUAAGCGGAAUUCCGUGUGUAGCAGUGAAAUGCGUAGAUAUACGGAGGAACACCUGAGGCGAAGGCGGCUUACUGGACCGAUACUGACACUGAGACUCGAAAGCGUGGGGAGCGAACAGGAUUAGAAACCCCUGUAGUCC
rnacentral:rRNA from 1 species